GUGGUACUCACUUUGGCAACACAUAUACUAAAAUUGAAAUGACAUAGGGAAGAUUAGCAUGGCCCCUGCACAAGAAUGACAGGAAAAUUUGUGAAGCAUUCCAUAUUUUU
rnacentral:snRNA from 1 species